GGCUCCAUAGCGUAGUGGUUAGCGUGUCUGCUUUAUAUGCAGAAGGUCCUGGGUUUGCAACCCAGGUGGAGCCA
rfam:Pteropus alecto contig98517, whole genome shotgun sequence.